CGGAGUGUAGCGCAGCCUGGUAGCGCACCUGCUUCGGGAGCAGGGGGUCGCGUGUUCGAAUCACGCCACUCCGACCA
rnacentral:tRNA from 1 species